rnacentral:tRNA from 1 species
AUUUAAAUAGCUUAAUUUUAGAGCGUAAUAUUGAAGAUAUUAAGGUAAUUUUUAGAUUUUUAAAUA